CCACUCCCACAAGGGGGUGAAUGUGUGCGCGGUUUGGUUUAUCUCUGCCUUCCAUUGCUGUGCAACUGGAUUAGUGUGUAUGCGGUUCGGUCAUGGUCUAACUUUUUGUUCCCAGUCACCCAAAUUAUGUCAUGUUGAUUGGAUGUAAACUGGACGGAAUCUCUCUGUAGAGAGGGUAGGAAAUUUCCGAGUCACAUACUCUCCUCUUCUACCUGAUUGCUUUAAAAGUUGAAUGCUAAUUGAUUAGCUGGACAUGGACAUAGAAAAUUUCCUUUCCUUCCGUUCCCAUCUCCGAAGAAUGUGAAGAUGAGAAGGUUGGGGAUUGUCCUUCUGCCCAGAAUCCACUACCCAAGUGAUAGAUCACUAUCAUCCUUGUUGUUCCGAGGUCUCAGCAGCUGUAACUGAAAGUUGAUCAAACAGGUUUACAGCUUGACAAGGGUUUUGGCACGCCAAAAUUUAUACGCCAAACAAAGACAGAGUGUUUUAUGGUUUUCUUUUCUCCAUUAUUGAAUGGGAAGACACCCAACUGAGAAUGACAUGUAUGCAUAAAGUGACAAAACCCCAACAUGAUGGGGGAAGCCAAACAAAAAGAAUGAAAGCAACAAGUGUAUAGUGAAGAAUAAGUUGGGUGAGGAAGAGCUUUCCUAUACAGGUACUGAGUAUACUGCUUCAGAUAAAAAAAGAAAAAAAAUCCAGAUUAAGAAAACCAUGGAACCCCAGAAUAUAUACCAAGAGAUCGAAGGAAUGGAGAAACUGAACCCACGUACACAAAUGGGAUGUCUCUUGUCACUACCCAUGAAACAUGGGGUCUCAUCUCAUCUAUCCCCCUCAGAAGAUAAACAUCCAUGGAGCUGGCACCAAUCCACACGUCGGCCGGGGGGAUCGGAUCUCCGGUGAGAACUGAUCCAGGCGUCCAGAUCCUACUUCUGUCUGCGUCGCUUGUGGCAAUCAAGUUGGCGUGAAGCAACCAUGACAGGCCUCAACGUUUCUGGCUUCUGCUGCUGCUGAUGAGCUUAGAAAUUAUUAUUAUUAUUAUUAUUGUUAUUUGGACUUCCAUUAAUGGUUUCUCUGUUGUUAGUUAUAAUAAUAUUUCUUUUAAUUCAAUUACUAA